rnacentral:rRNA from 1 species
UGGCGGACGGGUGAGUAACGCGUGAGAAUCUGCCUUCAGGUCGGGGACAACCACUGGAAACGGUGGCUAAUACCGGAUAUACUUAACGGUGAAAGAUUAAUUGCCUGAAGAGGAGCUCGCGUCUGAUUAGCUAGUUGGUGGGGUAAAAGCCUACCAAGGCGACGAUCAGUAGCUGGUCUGAGAGGACGAUCAGCCACACUGGAACUGAGACACGGUCCAG